rnacentral:rRNA from 1 species
UACAGAGGUGGCAAGCGUUGUUCGGAAUUACUGGGCGUAAAGAGCGUGUAGGCGGCCAGGUAGGUCUGCUGUGAAAACUCGAGGCUCAACCUCGAGACGUCGGCGGAAACCAUCUGGCUAGAGUCCGGAAGAGGAGAGUGGAAUUCCUGGUGUAGCGGUGAAAUGCGCAGAUAUCAGGAGGAACACCAAUGGCGAAGGCAGCUCGCUGGAACGGAACUGACGCUGAGGCGCGAAAGCGUGGGGAGCGAACAGG